CAGCAGCCGCGGUAAUACGAAGGGGGCUAGCGUUGCUCGGAGUGACUGGGCGUAAAGGGCGCGUAGGCGGCGGCCAAAGUCAGGCGUGAAAUUCCCGGGCUCAACCUGGGGGCUGCGUUUGAUACUUGGUUGCUUGAGUGGGGAAGAGGGUCGUGGAAUUCCCAGUGUAGAGGUGAAAUUCGUAGAUAUUCGGAAGAACACCAGUGGCGAAGGCGACUACCUGGUCUGGCAUUGACGCUCAUGUGCGAAAGCGUGGGGAGCAAACAGGAUUAGAUACCCGCGUAGUCCCUGUCUCUUAUAC
rnacentral:rRNA from 1 species